ACCCCAGUGAGUUCUUUUAAUUAAGGCACAAGUACCACCAAAAGCAAACUGAUCAAGUAGAGAUGCAAGAACAAAAAGAAGAAAUUAAUCGCCGGGUUAGGUAACUAGUUAAGCAGAAAUCCAACAAAACUAACGGGGCGUUUGGAUCCCUUCAUUUUAGAGGAAUUAGAAUUCACUCAAUAAAGUAACUUAUUUAGUUUGGAUUUUGACAUUCCACCACUUUCUAAAGUUUAGAUAUAAGUCUAUCUCAAAUUCAUGGGGUAGAGGGUGGGAAAUGAUUUUAUGCAUUAGUAGAAUUUGUUUCUACUCUGUAACUUACAUGACACUCUUCGUCUCACUCAUCUAUAGUAAAAAUGUAGCAUAUAAAUAUCUCCGACAUCUUGCUAAUAAUAGUAUAUAAAUAUAUUUUGUAUAAAAUCGAAUUAGCUUAAUUGAUAUAUGCCUAAAUUACUAUUAUUAAAAUGGAAUUCAAUUCCAAUGAUCCAAACGGGGCGUAAAUGUAUUUGAAUUCUCGGUGAAUUUGAUCGAGUUGGAUGUCGAUAUAGUUUUUGUUUUAGUCCCUUCUUUUAUUUUUUUCUCUGUUGUUUCUCUGAUGUUAGGGUUUGUAACUGAUCAUGUAAGCUUAUACUAAUGACAGGUUCCUAAAUGGACCCUGCAUGAAAAUACAUCUUAUAAAUUAAAAGAUCUA
rnacentral:lncRNA from 1 species